GCCUCUUUGGCUUAGUGGCAGAGCGUUGGUCUCGUAAACCAAAGGUCGUGAGUUCGAUUCUCAUAAGGGGCA